rnacentral:lncRNA from 1 species
UGUGGUGGUGUAGAAGCAAUUACAUGGAGGCUGGGUUGGAGCAAUAGUAGAAGGUACAGAUUGGAGCUGUGAGUGCAAUAAUACGUGCACAGUUCAACCUUUGAUGCCUAACAACAAUGAAAAUGGUUGGGUGUAGAAGAGAUAGAUAUAACCAAAGGUUUUAUGUAGCAAACAUAUAUAGCUGGAUGUUGGAGACAGGAUUGUGAAUAAUUAAGGUUAUAGUGCAUAUUAGUUGAGAUGCAGGUGCUGAAUGCAAAUCAAUCAUCGUCAAUCUGACCAAAGUGAGACAUUCACUAGUCCAUGAAGCUUAUAUGACUGCCAAUAUAAACAAAUAUAGAUUCCUCUUCCUUUGAACACUAGCAUAGGCAUAUAAAGUCUUGGAGGUGCUAUGAAAAUAUGAGAAAUUUUUUCUGCAAAGAUUCACCAUACUCCUUUCUCCUGUAACAGAAGCUCUGAUUGACUAUGAUUCUAAAUUCCAGCAAUAUAAUACAACCAUAGACAGAUCUUUCCAGCUGCUUGAUCCCACUGCUGCACUCCUUCCUUGGCUACCCUCCAUAUGAAUUGUCAUACCUCUUUGCCAUGUUCCCUGCAAGAUGAGUAGACACCUUUUCCAGUUUUUCAAACACAAGAGAUGUAAUCGAAAUUAAGUUUUCUUGAGUCCAGAAAAACAUAAUCAUAUUAUAAACCAUAAGAUUCUAACCUUGUAUUUUCUUGAUAGUUACUGAUGUACCUAUUUCUGUUUAGAGAACUAGAAUUAUGAAUUCUUAUAUUACAGGCUCAACAAUCCUGUAGCCACCAUGAGCGUUGCUUGAUUCGAAGAACCUAAUCCAAC